rnacentral:lncRNA from 1 species
GGGCUGCUCUGCUUCCUACGUUGUCUGUCAGACAUGUCAGGCACGCGCACGCAACCAUAGAUGAAGAUCCAUCCCUCAUCCCUAUUCUGCUCUGCUUCCUCGCUAUUCCAAACGACACCAUGGACACGCACACGCUUCUAUUAACGACUGAGCUUAAUGAUGGCCUCCCAAGUCAUGAUUUGGGGAAAAAUUAGGGGAGUCAUAAUGUUAAUUCCGAAAUUAAGAUCCUUCUUGGACAACCGGCUAUCUCAGUUAGGGCCUCUAUAAAAGAACACGAGCAACGUUUUUUAGAAACAUAUAUUGUCGCUUCAACAAAAUGUCAUCGUCAUAAGUGAUGCUAAAAAGUUGGUGCAAAGGUAUUAGAUUUUCAAGGGUUUUUAUUAGGUUAAUUUAGUUCACUAAUAAUUUUUUUGGAGUUUUUCUUAUUUAUAGAAAAAGAAGAGAAAGCUAUAAAGAAGGAAUUGAAUGAUUUACUUACAAUUGUUGUUGUUCAACCUAAGGUGCACGUUGCUGAUGUCAUUUGCAACGAUGUAAAGUUUGUUCAGGUAUACAAGCCCCUCUCUUGGGCAUGUGUAGUGGGGCAUUACGAUUAAGCCCCUCUCUUGGGCAUGAAGCGACAUGUGGCAUUAUGGGGGUGAAGUUCAAAAGUGGUGUAGUGGUUCCUUUUGAUCAUCAGGCGUAUUCAUAAACACGCCAUGGCCUCUUUGUUUUGAAUCAUGCCCAUGGGGGCGGUGUUUGCGGCGUGAAGUAGCAAGAUCACGCCACUUCACCUUUCCACUACACAUGGUCUAGCAUUUUUCUUGUUUUCUGUUGCAAAGGUCUGCAAGGUGGAUCCAAUUCCCGGAGAGACUAAAGUUUGGCAAUACAUUACCGCUUACAAAGAAGAUAUUCUUGAUGGAUUGCCCUGGUGUUGUUUAUGGCAGAAGUGAUACUGAAACUAUAUUGUUUUAAAGGGGGUGUGGAUGGAACUUUCUCAGUGAAGUCUGAUGUCUUCAAUUUUUGAGUCUUAAUCUUGGAUAUUGCAAGUGGAAGAAGAAAUACAAGCUUCUCUCAUCUUAACAAGACAAUCAAUCUUAUCGGAUAUGCAUGGGAGUGCAGCAUUAAUUUUCGAAUGCUUUUAGGCACGGGAGCUGUGGCAACAAGGGAAUGCAUUACAAUUGCAGGAUCCAACACCUGCUGAUACUUGUUGUACACCAGUUAUUGGGACUAUUCAGGUUGUACUACUUUGCGUACAAGAAAAUGCAAUUGACAGACCAGAAAUGUCAGACGUGAUCUAUGCUUCUUAAUGAUACUAUGUUGUUACCUCUCCCAAAGGGAUCGUCUUUUUUUUUUAGCAGAACUGUGUCUAAUUCAGCUUCAAUCGAAGGGAAGGUAGAUUGUGCCUUUGGAAACAACAUACCAUUACACAAAUGGAGGCUCGAUGGCACAUUAUCGAUAGCCCAUUUAAGAGUUGAUAUUAUUAUUGUUUGGAUGUCUUUAAGUUUUGUUAUGGGCACGGCUUGAGUAAUGAAGCGCACCAGUUCAUCUCAAUGCAUGACAACUCAAGUAAUGGAGGCCUCGAGUUCAUUUCUCGCCAUUAAGAGCACAAAGUUUGGUUGUUUACUUUUUUCCCUUGAUCAAUCAAAGUUCUCUUGAGAUAAGUGAAAGUUAAGUUUACUUUGCAGGUGUGUAGCAAUUUUUUUUGUUCAUCAUUUUUUAUCACUGAAGUUUUUGACUUCACGACUGAUGAAUAUGGUGGUAUUUCAAGAUUGCUACAACAUAUUUUAAUUGUUUCCUACUCUGUUCACUUCAAGGUUGAUGCAAGAAUCUCUAUAUAUUUAUCACAACUUCCAUUUGAGUU